CGCGUAUGCAACCUACCCUGUACAGGGGGAUAACCCGGAGAAAUUCGGACUAAUAUCCCGUAAUAAUAUCCGGAGGCAUCUUUGGAUAUUUAAAGUUCCGACGGUACGGGAUGGGCAUGCGUAACAUUAGCUGGUUGGUAAGGUAACGGCUUACCAAGGCUAUGAUGUUUAGGGGUCCUGAGAGGGUGGUCCCCCACACUGGUACUGAGACACGGACCAGACUCCUACGGGAGGCAGCAGUGAGGAAUAUUGGUCAAUGGGCGCAAGCCUGAACCAGCCAUCCCGCGUGCAGGAAGACGGCCCUAUGGGUUGUAAACUGCUUUUCCAGGGAGAGAAACUUACGCACGUGUUGCGUGACUGACGGUACCCUGGGAAUAAGCAUCGGCUAACUCCGUGCCAGCAGCCGCGGUAAUACGGAGGAUGCAAGCGUUAUCCGGAUUCAUUGGGUUUAAAGGGUGCGUAGGCGGGCUAUUAAGUCAGUGGUGAAAUCCUGCAGCUUAACUGCAGAACUGCCGUUGAUACUGAUAGUCUUGAGUUUGGUUAAGGUAGGCGGAAUGUGUAAUGUAGCGGUGAAAUGCUUAGAUAUUACACAGAACACCAAUUGCGUAGGCAGCUUACUGAGCCGACACUGACGCUGAGGCACGAAAGCGUGGGGAUCAAACAGGAUUAGAUACCCUGGUAGUCCACGCCGUAAACGAUGAUUACUCGCUGUUGGCGAUACACUGUCAGCGGCUAAGCAAAAGCAAUAAGUAAUCCACCUGGGGAGUACGGCCGCAAGGUUGAAACUCAAAGGAAUUGACGG
rnacentral:rRNA from 1 species